rnacentral:tRNA from 1 species
GGAUUGUGGCUCAGUGGUAGAGCACUUGUCUAGCAUGUGCGAGGUCUUGGCUUCGAUCCUCAGCACCA